GGUUGUCCUCCGUGCGCCGCCAUCAUCGCCCACCGGAGUGGUGGCGGAUAGCCCGAUCCGCCCUGAGUCCGCCACAACCAUGGAGCAAGACUCAUCCGGUUCCAGCGCGGGGACUUCGCGGGAGGAGGGGCGCAGGGCAGAGCUGGAGCGGGAGGCUGUGCCCAUAGCAGUGCGUGGGCAGGUCGCGGUGGAGGCCUGCCUCAGAGUGUUGAACCGAACCGAGGCGGCGGUGACCAGGAUGGCGGAGGAGAUCACGGCUAUUGGUCAAGCGGUCCAGGACAUGCGCCGGGACAUGGCCA